rnacentral:rRNA from 1 species
UACGGAGGGUGCGAGCGUUGUCCGGAAUCACUGGGCGUAAAGGGCGCGUAGGCGGCGCGGGAAGUCCGUGGUGAAAGCCCGAGGCUCAACUUCGGGUCGGCCAUGGAUACUCCUGGGCUCGAGCACUGUAGAGGCAGGUGGAAUUCCGGGUGUAGCGGUGGAAUGCGUAGAGAUCCGGAAGAACGACCGGUGGCGAAGGCGGCCUGCUGGGCCGAUACUGACGCUGAGGAGCGAAAGC